AUUGAACGCUGGCGGCAUGCCUUACACAUGCAAGUCGAACGGCAGCACGGGAGCUUGCUCCUGGUGGCGAGUGGCGAACGGGUGAGUAAUACAUCGGAACGUACCCUGAAGUGGGGGAUAACGUAGCGAAAGUUACGCUAAUACCGCAUAUUCUGUGAGCAGGAAAGAGGGGGAGUCGCAAGACCUCUUGCUUUAGGAGCGGCCGAUGUCGGAUUAGCUAGUUGGUGAGGUAAAGGCUCACCAAGGCGACGAUCCGUAGCGGGUCUGAGAGGAUGAUCCGCCACACUGGGACUGAGACACGGCCCAGACUCCUAC
rnacentral:rRNA from 1 species